rnacentral:rRNA from 1 species
AAUGAACGUUGGCGGCAUGGAUUAGGCAUGCAAGUCGAGCGAGAAGGGUUUUGAAGCUUGCUUUAGAACCCGGAAAGCGGCGAAAGGGAGAGUAACGAGUAGUUAUCUACCCCAAGGCCCGGAAUAGCUGCGGGAAACUGCAGGUAAUGCCGGAUAAUAUCCCCGGAUCAAAGGUGUGAUUCCGCCUUGGGAGGAGACUGCUUUGUACUAGCUUGUUGGUAGGGUAAUGGCCUACCAAGGCUACGAUGCAUAGCGGGCGUGAGAGCGUGGCCCGUCUCACUGGGACUGAAACACUGCCCAGACACCUACGGGUGGCUGCAGUCGAGAAUCUUCGGCAAUGGGCGAAAGCCUGACCGAGCGAUGCCGCGUGCGGGAUGAAGGCCCUCGGGUUGUAAACCGCUGUCGUAGAGGAGAAAGGUCUCGUGAAGAGCGAGAUUUGAUCUAUUCUAGGAGGAAGUCGGGGCUAAGCUCGUGCCAGCCGCCGCGGUAACAC